rnacentral:tRNA from 1 species
CCCUUGUUAGUACAGUGGUGAGUAUUUCUGCCUAUCAUGUAGGAGAUUGGGGUUUGAUUCCCUGAUGGGGAG